UCAAAUUCCCUUAACAGCAACAGAGGAUACUUUGCGGAAUAAACAAUACAGAGGUUUAUGCAAUCGGGCAGGAACUGAAAUGUUCAAAGACGGCCUUUUAUCUGAAUGCAACAUUGAAGACGGGGUGCUGGUGGCAAUUCC
rnacentral:ribozyme from 1 species